GAUGAACGCUAGCGGGAGGCUUAACACAUGCAAGUCGAGGGGCAGCAUAGGGUAGCAAUACUCUGAUGGCGACCGGCAAACGGGUGAGUAACGCGUAUGCAACCUACCCUGUACAGGGGGAUAACCCGGAGAAAUUCGGACUAAUAUCCCGUAAUAAUAUCCGGAGGCAUCUUUGGAUAUUUAAAGUUCCGACGGUACGGGAUGGGCAUGCGUAACAUUAACUGGUUGGUAAGGUAACGGCUUACCAAGGCUAUGAUGUUUAGGGGUCCUGAGAGGGUGGUCCCCCACACUGGUACUGAGACACGGACCAGACUCCUACGGGAGGCAGCAGUGAGGAAUAUUGGGUCAAUGGGCGCAAGCCUGAACCAGCCAUCCCGCGUGCAGGAAGACGGCCCUAUGGGUUGUAAACUGCUUUUCCAGGGAGAGAACUUACGCACGUGUUGCGUGACUGACGGUACCCUGGGAAUAAGCAUCGGCUAACUCCGUG
rnacentral:rRNA from 1 species